rnacentral:rRNA from 1 species
UACGUAGGGGGCAAGCGUUGUCCGGAAUUAUUGGGCGUAAAGAGCUCGUAGGCGGUCUGUUGCGUCCGCUGUGAAAACUCGGGGCUUAACCCCGAGCCUGCAGUGGAUACGGGCAGACUAGAGGUAGGUAGGGGAGAAUGGAAUUCCCGGUGUAGCGGUGAAAUGCGCAGAUAUCGGGAAGAACACCCGUGGCGAAGGCGGCUCUCUGGGACGGUACUGACGCUGAGACGGCGAAAGCGUGGGGAGCGAACAGG